rnacentral:rRNA from 1 species
GACGAACGCUGGCGGCGUGCCUAAUACAUGCAAGUCGAACGGUUUAGUUCCAAGAGGCUUGCCUUUUGGAACUAGACAGUGGCGGACGGGUGAGUAACACGUAGGCAACCUACCUGUCAAACCGGGAUAACCUCGGGAAACCGAAGCUAAACCCGGAUAAGCUCCUUUUUCGCAUGAAGGGGGAGUGAAAAGGUGCGACCUGAUGACAGAUGGGCCUGCGGCGCAUUAGCUAGUAGGUAGGGUAACGGCCUACCUAGGCGAUGAUGCGUAGCCGACCCGAGAGGGCGUACGGCCACACUGGGACUGAGAUACGGCCCAGACUCCUACGGGAGGCGGCAGUAGGGAAUCUUCGGCAAUGGGCGAAAGCCUGACCGAGCAACGCCGCGUGAGUGAGGAAGGCCUUCGGGUUGUAAAACUCUGUUGUUUGGGAAGAAGGGAAAGGGUAGGACCCUUAGGUGACGGUACCAAACGAGAAAGCCCCGGCUAACUACGUG